UUGACCUCGAAUCAGGUAGGACUACCCGCUGAACUUAAGCAUAUCAAUAAGCGGAGGAAAAGAAACCAACAG
rnacentral:rRNA from 1 species